GCUACGGGUGGCAGCAGUGAGGAAUAUUGGUCAAUGGCCGAGAGUCUGAACCAGCCAAGUAGCGUGAAGGAUGACUGCCCCAAGCAUUGUAAACUUCUUUUAUCAAGGAAUAAAAUGAGGCACGUGUGCCUUUUUGCAUGUACUUUAUGAAUAAGCAUCGGCUAACUCCGUGCCAGCAGCCGCGGUAAUACGGAGGAUCCGAGCGUUAUCCGGAUUUAUUGGGUUUAAAGGGAGCGUAGAUGGGUUGUUAAGUCAGUUGUGAAAGUUUGGGGCUCAACCCUAAAAGUGCAAUUGAUACUGGCAGUCGUGAGUACAGUUGAGGUAUGCGGAAUGCGUGGUGUAGCGGUGAAAUGCUUAGAUAUCACGAAGAACCCCGAUUGCGAAGGCAGCUUACUA
rnacentral:rRNA from 1 species